rnacentral:rRNA from 1 species
GAUGAACGCUGGCGGCGUGCCUAAUACAUGCAAGUCGAGCGAACGGACGAGAAGCUUUCUCUUCUGAUGUUAGCGGCGGACGGGUGAGUCACACGUGGAUAACCUACCUAUAAGACUGGGAUAACUUCGGGAAACCGGAGCUAAUACCGGAUAAUAUUUUGAACCGCAUGGUUCAAAAGUGAAAGACGGUCUUGCUGUCACUUAUAGCUGGAUCCGCGUUGCAUUAGCUAGUUGGUAAGGUAACGGCUUACCAAGGCAACGAUGCAUAGCCGACCUUAUAGGGUGAUCGGCCACACUAGAACUGCGACACGGUCCAGACUCCGACGAGAGGCAGCAGUAGGGAAUCUUCCGAAAUGGGCGAAAGCCGGACGGAGCAACGCCGCGUGAGUGAUGAAGGUCUUCGGAUCGUAAAACUCUGUUAGUAGGGAAGAACAUAUGUGUAAGUAACUGUGCACAUCUUGACGGUACCUAAUCAGAAAGCCACGGCUAACUACGUG